rnacentral:rRNA from 1 species
GGGUUGUGAGGUUAAGCGAAUAAGCGUACACGGUGGAUGCCUAGGCAAUCAGAGGCGAUGAAGGACGUGCUAAUCUGCGAAAAGCGUCGGUAAGGUGAUAUGAACCGUUAUACCCGACGAUAUCCGAAUGGGGAAACCCAGUAUCCAAUGGAUACUAUCAUUAACUGAAUCCAUAGGUUAAUGAGGCGAACCGGGAGAACUGAAACAUCUCAGUACCCCGAGGAAAAGAAAUCAACCGAGAUUCCCCUAGUAGCGGCGAGCGAACGGGGAGCAGCCCAGAGUCUUAAUCAAUAACAGUGUCAGGAGAACGGUCUGGAAAGUCCGGCAGUAAAGGGUGAUAGCCCCGUAUCUGAAGAUGCUGUUAUUGUGAACUCGAUGAGUAGGGCGGGACACGUGUUAUCCUGUCUGAAUAUGGGGGGACCAUCCUCCAAGGCUAAAUACUCCUGAUUGACCGAUAGUGAACCAGUACCGUGAGGGAAAGGCGAAAAGAACCCCGGCGAGGGGAGUGAAAAAGAACCUGAAACCGUGUACGUACAAGCAGUAGGAGCCCCAUCACUCAAGUGCCUCGCACUGAGUGAUGCAAGAACAUCACCGAAAAUAGCGCCGAAUUUGCUAACAAGGUUGGUCGAUUUUUUCAAGCCGUCGCGCAGUGUACCUAGAAGUACACGAGCAACGGAAGUUAAAAAAUCGGGCAAGAUUGAACGCAAAGGCAAGCGGGACAUUUGAGGAUGGGGUGACUGCGUACCUUUUGUAUAAUGGGUCAGCGACUUAUAUUCUGUAGCAAGGUUAACCGCAUAGGGGAGCCGUAGGGAAACCGAGUCUUAACUGGGCGAAUGAGUUGCAGGGUAUAGACCCGAAACCCGGUGAUCUAUCCAUGGGCAGGUUGAAGGUUGGGUAACACUAACUGGAGGACCGAACCGACUAAUGUUGAAAAAUUAGCGGAUGACUUGUGGAUGGGGGUGAAAGGCCAAUCAAACCGGGAGAUAGCUGGUUCUCCCCGAAAGCUAUUUAGGUAGCGCCUCGUGAACUCAUCUUCGGGGGUAGAGCACUGUUUCGACUAGGGGGUCAUCCCGACUUACCAACUCGAUGCAAACUGCGAAUACCGAAGAAUGUUAUCACGGGAGACACACGGCGGGUGCUAACGUCCGUCGUGAAGAGGGAAACAACCCAGACCGCCAGCUAAGGUCCCAAAGUCAUGGUUAAGUGGGAAACGAAGUGGGAAGGCUCAGACAGCCAGGAUGUUGGCUUAGAAGCAGCCAUCAUUUAAAGAAAGCGUAAUAGCUCACUGGUCGAGUCGGCCCGCGCGGAAGAUGUAACGGGGCUAAACCAUGCACCGAAGCUGCGGCAGCGACACAUAGUGUUGUUGGGUAGGGGAGCGUUCUGUAAGCCUGCGAAGGUGUACUGUGAGGUAUGCUGGAGGUAUCAGAAGUGCGAAUGCUGACAUAAGUAACGAUAAUGCGGGUGAAAAACCCGCACGCCGGAAGACCAAGGGUUCCUGUCCAACGUUAAUCGGGGCAGGGUGAGUCGACCCCUAAGGCGAGGCUGAAAAGCGUAGUCGAUGGGAAACGGGUUAAUAUUCCCGUACUGGUGGUAACUGCGAUGGGGGAACGGAGAAGGCUAGGUUGUCCGGGCGACGGUCGUCCCGGUUCAAGCAGGUAGGCAGAGUGAUUAGGCAAAUCCGGUCACUUAAUGCUGAGAUGUGAUGACGAACCACCAAGGUGGUGAAGCAAUUGAUGCCCCGCUUCCAGGAAAAGCCUCUAAGCUUCAGGUUACCAACAAUCGUACCCCAAACCGACACAGGUGGUCAGGUAGAGAAUACUCAGGCGCUUGAGAGAACUCGGGUGAAGGAACUAGGCAAAAUGGUGCCGUAACUUCGGGAGAAGGCACGCUGGCGGUAGGUAAAGUCCCUUGCGGACGGCGCUGAAGCCAGUCGAAGAUACCAGCUGGCUGCAACUGUUUAUUAAAAACACAGCACUGUGCAAACACGAAAGUGGACGUAUACGGUGUGACGCCUGCCCGGUGCUGGAAGGUUAAUUGAUGGGGUCAGCCGCAAGGCGAAGCUCCUGAUCGAAGCCCCAGUAAACGGCGGCCGUAACUAUAACGGUCCUAAGGUAGCGAAAUUCCUUGUCGGGUAAGUUCCGACCUGCACGAAUGGCGUAAUGAUGGCCAGGCUGUCUCCACCCGAGACUCAGUGAAAUUGAACUCGCUGUGAAGAUGCAGUGUACCCGCGGCAAGACGGAAAGACCCCGUGAACCUUUACUAUAGCUUGACACUGAACAUUGAGCCUUGAUGUGUAGGAUAGGUGGGAGGCUUUGAAGUGUGGACGCCAGUCUGCAUGGAGCCAACCUUGAAAUACCACCCUUUAACGUUUGAUGUUCUAACCUAGGCCCAUAAACUGGGUCGGGGACCGUGUCUGGUGGGUAGUUUGACUGGGGCGGUCUCCUCCUAAAGAGUAACGGAGGAGCACGAAGGUUGGCUAAGCAUGGUCGGACAUCAUGCGGUUAGUGCAAAGGCAUAAGCCAGCUUGACUGCGAGAGUGACGGCUCGAGCAGGUACGAAAGUAGGUCUUAGUGAUCCGGUGGUUCUGAAUGGAAGGGCCAUCGCUCAACGGAUAAAAGGUACUCCGGGGAUAACAGGCUGAUACCGCCCAAGAGUUCAUAUCGACGGCGGUGUUUGGCACCUCGAUGUCGGCUCAUCACAUCCUGGGGCUGAAGUAGGUCCCAAGGGUAUGGCUGUUCGCCAUUUAAAGUGGUACGCGAGCUGGGUUUAGAACGUCGUGAGACAGUUCGGUCCCUAUCUGCCGUGGGCGUUGGAAGAUUGAGAGGGGUUGCUCCUAGUACGAGAGGACCGGAGUGAACGCACCACUGGUGUUCGGGUUGUCAUGCCAAUGGCAUUGCCCGGUAGCUAAGUGCGGAAGAGAUAACCGCUGAAAGCAUCUAAGCGGGAAACUUGCCUCGAGAUGAGUCUUCCCUGUCGCUUUAAGCGACCUAAAGGAACGUUUAAGACUAAGACGUUGAUAGGCUGGGUGUGUAAGCGUAGCGAUACGUUGAGCUAACCAGUACUAAUGAACCGUGAGGCUUAACCUGACAACACCGAAAGUGUUUUG